GUAGGGAAUAUUGGGCAAUGGUCGGAAGACUGACCCAGCCAUGCCGCGUGCAGGAAGACGGCCCUCUGGGUUGUAAACUGCUUUUAUCUGGGAAGAAAAAGGCCAUGCGUGGCAAAUUGCCGGUACCAGAUGAAUAAGCACCGGCUAACUCCGUGCCAGCAGCCGCGGUAAUACGGAGGGUGCGAGCGUUGUCCGGAUUUAUUGGGUUUAAAGGGUGCGUAGGCGGCUGAUUAAGUCAGCGGUGAAAGACUUCGGCUUAACCGGAGCAGUGCCGUUGAUACUGGUUGGCUUGAGUGUCGGAGGGGUACAUGGAAUUGAUGGUGUAGCGGUGAAAUGCAUAGAUACCAUCAGGAACACCGAUAGCGAAGGCAUUGUACUGGCCGACAACUGACGCUGAUGCACGAAAGUGUGGGGAACGAACAGGAUUAGAAACCCCGUAGUCC
rnacentral:rRNA from 1 species